UGGGGAAUCUUCCGCAAUGGACGAAAGUCUGACGGAGCAACGCCGCGUGAGUGAUGAAGGAUUUCGGUCUGUAAAGCUCUGUUGUUUAUGACGAACGUGCAGUGUGUGAACAAUGCAUUGCAAUGACGGUAGUAAACGAGGAAGCCACGGCUAACUACGUGCCAGCAGCCGCGGUAAUACGUAGGUGGCGAGCGUUGUCCGGAAUUAUUGGGCGUAAAGAGCAUGUAGGCGGCUUAAUAAGUCGAGCGUGAAAAUGCGGGGCUCAACCCCGUAUGGCGCUGGAAACUGUUAGGCUUGAGUGCAGGAGAGGAAAGGGGAAUUCCCAGUGUAGCGGUGAAAUGCGUAGAUAUUGGGAGGAACACCAGUGGCGGAGGCGCCUUUCUGGACUGUGUCUGACGCUGAGAUGCGAAAGCCAGGGUAGCGAACGGG
rnacentral:rRNA from 1 species